UACAGACCUUUAUAUACCAUCUGCAUAGAAGAUAUAACUAAAGAAUUACCAUAUGCAAGAAAAAUCAGCAGUAGAACAUGAGAUUCUUUACAUUCUCACUGAGCUUUGGCAGAGGUGUUGCCUUCGGUGGAGCAGCUCUUGAGAUUGUACAAACGUUUCUCUUUGAAGCCAUGGACUCAGAUCGUUCAAUGUAAAGUCUGCCCCUGUAUGCAGCUAAGUGGGCAUAGUAAGCGGGAGGAACCAAAGAAACUGGCUUGGUGCACCUUACAAAUGUGUAGCAGAGAUUGUAAACUAACUUUUGUAAUUCAUCAGAAGUGAACUGGCU
rnacentral:misc_RNA from 1 species